GGCCUUCCAAUUGGCGCCGCUCCUCCCUAUAUUCCGUUCGUCAGCUUGCUGACUAUGGCGAUAAACGGACGAUGGAAUAAGCCUUUCGGACCCGGGGGCGGUACCCGGCGCCUCCACCACAAGCCGCUGGCAUUGGCGAGCGGCUUCUGAUGGGGGCGAAAUAGGAUCGACGAGGGUGUAAAGAUCGAACUUUCGCUCGGCAUGAUACCGCCGUUAUCGGGUCAAACCUAUAGUUGCCAACGACAACUAUGCUGAGGCACGUCUCGCUGCUUAAUGCGGCGCGAUAGUCUCGAAUCAAGCCCUGUGGGUUAGCACCUUCAGGCGGGGUUCGGAGGUACCUGGCAACAGAAACCUCCACU
rnacentral:tmRNA from 1 species